AUUGAACGCUGGCGGCAGGCCUAACACAUGCAAGUCGAGCGAGCGGCGGACGGGUGAGUAAUGUAUGGGGACUGCCCGAUAGAGGGGGAUAACUACUGGAAACGGUGGCUAAUACCGCAUACUAUCGGAUAACCCAUAUGGGAUUAGCUAGUAGGUGGGGUAAAGGCUCACCUAGGCGACGAUCUCUAGCUGGUCUGAGAGGAGUAUCAGACACAGUGGGACUGAGAACCGGCCCAGACUCCGACGGAGGCAGCAGUGGGGAAUAUGGAACAAUGGGCGAAAGUCUGAGGCAGCCAUGCGGCGUGUAUGAAGAAGGCCUUAGGGUUUUAAAGUACUUUCAGCGGGGAGGCGUUACCCGCAGAAGAAGCACCGGCUAACUCCGGGCCAGCAGCCGCGGUAAUAC
rnacentral:rRNA from 1 species